GACGAACGCUGGCGGCGUGCUUAACACAUGCAAGUCGAACGCUGAAGCACCAGCUUGCUGGUGUGGAUGAGUGGCGAACGGGUGAGUAAUACGUGAGUAACCUGCCCUUGACUCUGGGAUAAGCCCGGGAAACUGGGUCUAAUACUGGAUGCUACAUGUCACCGCAUGGUGGUGUGUGGAAAGGGUUUACUGGUCUUGGAUGGGCUCACGGCCUAUCAGCUUGUUGGUGAGGUGAUGGCUCACCAAGGCGACGACGGGUAGCCGGCCUGUGGGGGUGACCGGCGACACUGGGACUGAGGGACGGCCCAGGCUGCGACGGGUGGCAGCUGGGGGGAAGAUUGAACAAGGGGCGAAGGCCGGAUGCAGAGAGGCCGCGGGUGGGAUGACGGCCUUCGGGUUGUAGACCACUUGCAGCAGGGAAGAAGCCACAAGUGACGGUACCUGCAGAAGAAGCGCCGGCUAACUACGUG
rnacentral:rRNA from 1 species